CCGUGGGGACAUUGUCCCUCUGUCACCACGCUUCCGCGGCCAUUGAUUGGUGAGCUGCAGGGUAAUUAUAAGAAUCUCUUAAAGGGCAUGGCAUGCCAAGAAACUGUACAAAAAAGCAACCCAAUGACCAUGCCUGGAAUUUCUUACAUGAAUUUGGAAGUGUUCUCCCCACUAAUUUUCAAAAUGUUCUUUGAAAACAGGGAAAAUUCCAUUUUUCCAAUUUUUUUGCUACACUGAAGGUGGUCAAUAUUGAAAUUACUUGUUUAAUUAUUUGAUUUCUAUGAUUAUCAUGUGUAAAAAGUAUGAUUUUAACUUGGUAAGGUCGAUAUAAUGUAAAUUGACUGAUUUGAGCAACAUCAUCGUUCAUUUUUAUCAUUAUUAAUAAUUUUUAGUUUAAUAUCUGUCCCUAUUGAAAAAAAAUUUUCAGUAUUUUUUCAAAGUGUUCUCCCCGCUUUGCGGGUUGGUGGGGUAAGAAAUUCCAGGCAUGCCAAUGACCCAAACAAACCAACAUUUACUAUUCCCGACCAAUUAUAUUUGACGACGAUUCUUCAUAACCAGGUAGACUUUGUUUUUCAAGAAAAUUGCAUAACCCUUAAAGCAUCACACCACCAGACAGAGGUGGGCAAAAAAAAAUUACUGCGUAAAAAUAAGUAAAAUAUUUUGAGCCUUUUCUUCCCAGGGUUUGGAUUUCCGGGGCUGCUACACCCAUAAAAAGACGAGGAUUCACGUGGAGAAGGCAACAAUCACUCGAAAAUACGGGUUUUGUGCAGAAAUUACCUUUUUAUCACUAUCAAAAUACAUUAUUUUUCAAAAAAUCGUGAAAACAAUUAUCUAAUUUUCAUAUUGGUUAUUGCAAAAAAUUCAAUCAAAUCUAAUCUGCAAAACUUAUCUGUACGAAAUAAUAAUUAUUCUUUUCGGCUUUUAAACCUCUCGAACUGACAAAAGUUGAAAAUUUGUAAACGAUUUUUGCCUCGAGAAAGUAACACCAUUAAGUUUUUUGUUAAAAUGGUAAGAGUUUAACACCAAAAAUAAAAUGCUAAUGAAUUUUAAUUUCUUAAAAUGCUCAUUAGGUCAAUAAAUUAUCUUCUGGCAGAUUUUCGUCUUUUUGUGACUUUAACAACCCCGGAAAUCCAAACCUGGGAAGAACUCAAAUCAAAUAUUCAAUGAAUUUUUAUGUCAUCGACACACUACAAUAGGACGUCAUUCCUUGUUUGUCGUGAUGGUGUCGUCGUCCGUCCUUCUCCUUCCUUUGAGGUCAGCUCACCUCACCCGAAUCCCGGGUGGCGGUGGUGGUCGUGAUAAACUAACUGUGGCAUCAAAUAAUUUAAAUCGAUUCCUUCCCUCGGAGGACAUACGUCUAUGUAUUGAUCGAUAUUCAUUUCAAACAAACUGCUAAUUCACCGUAAAAAAGAGAGAGAAAAAAAGACAUACUUUUCCUCGGUUCACUUUCUCUUUUUUCCAAAUUACAUCAUACCGCAGCGCGUAUUAUCUCGUCAAUCCCAAGGAGAGAGAAAGCAGGCACAAAUAAAUAUGCACCGUCGCAAUGCAUACAAAUUCUUGUCGACCUUGUCAAAGUCGUUGCUUUCCUUGCAAAAUAAGUAAAUGGUAGCGAACAAACAACUUUUAUCAAUAAAGAUCGUUACAAAAAGAA